GCCACAUUUAACUACAAUAUAAAUUGAACAAAAUUGACUUUUAGUUACGAUAAGGGCAUGUUGGUAACUUUGAAAAUAAGUAAAAAAGGAAGCAUCCCAAAUUCUCUCCACAUUUACCGCAGCAUAUCUUCUCCCCAUCUACUACCUAUUCUUUCUCUCUCUCUCUCUCUCUCUCUCUCUCUCUCUCUCUCUUGUUCCAAUCCCUCAGAUGUAUCGUUAAAAAAAGAAUUGGUUGAUAUCUACAGAUUUUCGAUAAUAUUUUCUCUGCUUUCCGAUCGUUAAUUUAUUUUACCGGUUAUAUCGAAGUUCUUGGUCGACGAUUUUGCUUGAAGACAAGAUUUGGGCUGAAAUCGAACAGGAAAAUUGUGUCCUGUCGAUUCUGGAAUGGGGAAAGAGAACGAUUCAGAUAGUAUUGGUGUUUGUUCGAAAUAUUUCUUGAUUUGUUCGUAAAUGUGUAAAUUUAAGUUAAAUUUUUCUAACUUAUGUUCCGAAGGGAUUUGUCGGCGCCGACGUCGUUGUUAGGAGCCACUAGCGGCGGGCUCUGCGGGUCGUAAAUUGGCUGGUGGAACGGCCAGGCGCAGUUGCCGGGGCACUGAGUCUUCGAGUUCCCCACACAAAUGUAGGCGAAUUUAUGAUUUUUUCCCUUGAGGCGGUGGAUUUGGAGCCGUGAGUUCCACAGUGGUUCUGGCAAAAUCAGUGAUUUCCCGGAGAUCAAGCUACUUUGAAUGAGCUUCAAUCGAAACCAAUUUUCCUUUGUUUCUGUUCAUUUAGAUAUUGUGUUCUUUUCAUUUAUAAAUUGUGUUAUGUUCAUUUA